UACAGAGGUCUCAAGCGUUGUUCGGAUUCAUUGGGCGUAAAGAGCGUGUAGGCGGCCAGGUAGGUCCGUUGUGAAAACUCGAGGCUCAACCUCGAGACGCCGAUGGAAACCAUCUGGCUAGAGUCCGGAAGAGGAGAGUGGAAUUCCCGGUGUAGCGGUGAAAUGCGCAGAUAUCGGGAAGAACACCCGUGGCUAAGGCGGCUCUCUAGUACGGUACUGACGCUGAGACGCGAAAGCGUGGGGAGCGAACAGG
rnacentral:rRNA from 1 species